GGCGCCUGCAGCUUGGGUCCCUGAACCACGUGGAGCAGCAGGGCUGCUCAGGGCUGGAGACUGAAGGGUGACUUGCUAGCAGAACUGGUUCCACUGCACAUGAGGUGAAAGCAAAGGACUCACUUGUGUCUGCACCAGCUGCCUUGGGAGAUUGCUGAUGAGAGAGGGAGACUCACACCCAGAGCUUAGAUGGCCCCAGCUGAGAUGGAGUCUUAGACUGUCAUGUGCCACCUCCCUUAGCAAGGCAGUGAUGGGUGAGGAAGCAAGAUACCAGGCCCCCAGGCCACCAGCACCUCACACUGAUCUCUCCUCCUACUCAGUUCCUUGUAUUGCUGGGGAGAGAGCGUGGAGUCCAUUCCACCCCUGUUCACUUUGUACCAGGGCUGCUCUGGACCAGGACCCUGUGCUCCCUCUGAGCAUGCUGUCUCCUCAGCUGGAUUUGGAGAAGCUUCAGUAAGAAGAGGUCUAGCCCCCUCCCCCCUCCCCAACAUAAGACAGCCCCUGCCUGGUGUGAUGUUUUCCUUGUUUAGUGCAUCAGAAAUGGCCUGGAGUCAUCCCACAGCCUGGAGUCCUGCCUGGGACAGUGGGACCAGCUCUCCGGAGCAACAUUUCCAUUAUCUGUGUAGCUACUUCUGCGGGGAUGAGUGUGAAUGUUUGCAACAGCUUCAGGGCUAGAGAAGUGAAAGGUGUCCCCCUAUUUAUGGACCGUGUGUGUUCUGCAAACUAAGCUGCCUUCUUGCCUCCCAUUCCACAUACAUCGCACAGCUUCAUUAGCAGUUAUGAAUAGCUCCAAUUAUUGCCGUCCCUCCAGAGAGAACACAACUCAAUGGCCAAUUAAUACAACUAUAUGCAACAAAUCCUUCUUCACUGGACCCUCCCCAGCUUUCCUUUGGCUUCCAUUUACAUCCCCUUCCAUGAUAGUCAACCCCAUAAGCAAAGAUAGUAGGAAAUCGGGGAAAAAAAUAGAAUUAUAGACAAUGAGGGUUGGAAGGGGCCGCAGGAGGUUGCACAAGUCCAACCUCUGCUCGAAGCAGGA